rnacentral:lncRNA from 1 species
UGAGAUCAAGAUUUGCAAAAUACACACGGAUUUGAACAUUUCUGAUCUGUUGAAAAAACUACUCCCGCAGGCUAAGCAUGAUGCGCAUGUAAGAGCUAUGGGUAUUAGGUACCUUCUAGAUUGACUCUAGUGCAAGUGGGAGACUAUUGGAGGUAUGCCCUAGAGGCAAUCAUAUAGAUGAUGAUAUUCCAUUUGUAUCCAUGAUUUAUAUUGUGUUCUUUGAAUAUCCAUUAAAGGCUACUUGAAUUGAUUUGCAAUUAUGUGAAUUGUAUGUGAAACUCUUUACUUGUAUGGUUAUUCUAAAGUUGUCCCUAGUUGGAGUUCAUGUGAGGACACACAUGAAUAUUAGACUAGCACAUGUACUAGUUGAUGACUAUGUUUCACGAGUCAUGGACAUGGAGAUGUUAAACUAAUAAUGUUGGCACAUAUGGAGACAUGUGCUAGGACUAACCCAACACGAGAAGUAGUUCUCUCUUUACACAACAUGUACGCUUUGUCCUUAGACUUGAGAUUGUCGCAUGUACUCAAGAUGUGGAUCGACUUACUUAGGGGCUAUCAAACGCUACACCAUGACAGGGUAGUUAAAAAGGUAGCUUUCGGGUUUGUCAAGGAGCAUGCUGUGAGACAUGGUCAAUCAAGAUAGGAUUUGCCCCUCUCUGAUUGAGAGUGAUAUCUCUGGGCCCCUCGAGUGAUCGGAUUUGAAAAUGCAUAGCCAUGCUACGUACGGUUUAGAGUUAACCUACAAAGGGAUUUUGAAUCACAGGAUUGAGAAAGAGCGGUCAACUUGAAGCUAGACCAAAUAUAGUGAGGCAAAGGGAAUAGCAUGUACAUAAUGUUGUGGUGGUUCGUCUAAUCUGAUCUUCGUGUGCGUAUAGGAGUUUGCACAUCUUGCUAGAGGC